UCCCUGUUAGCUGUUGCGAAAGUAGCAGAUACUCUUCCUGGGGUCCACACAAAACAUUAAACAUGAUAUAAUACAGAACAUUAAUACAUUCUGGAACGGCGCCUGAGACAGCGUUUUCCACCACCAUUAACAAAACAUCAAAUUAUGGACUUUCUCAUAAAAGAAUGGUGUCAAAUCCCACCGAAAGAGUUCCAGACAAUUGUAGAAUCUAUGCCAGUGUAACGGAUGUGAAAUGGCUAGCUACUUAGCGGUGGGGCGCGCUAAUAGCGUUUCAAUCGGUGACGUCACUUGCUCUGAGACCUUGAAGUAGUGGUUCCCCUUGCUCUGCAAGGGCCGUGGCUUUUGUGGAGCGAUGGGUAACGAUGCUUUGUGGGUGACUGUUGUUGAUGUGUGCAGAGGGUCCCUGGCUCGCGCUCGGCGAGGGGACGGUCUAAAGUUAUACUGUUACAUUGGUGCCGUGACCCAGAUCACUGGUUGGAGGAGGUCAAAAGGGGGGUGAGUGUAACGGAUGUGAAAUGGCUAGCUCGUUAGCGGUGGUGCGCGUUAAUAGCGUUUCAAUCGGUGACGUCACUUGUUCUGAGACCUUGAAGUAGUGGUUCCCCUUGCUCUGCAAGGGGAAACAGUAUAAAAUAACUUGUUUUGGGGGUAUAUUUUGACAACUUUCCAAAAACAUGUACUCUAAACUAUUCUCGGUCCGUAUGUACCAAGCGUCUCGGAGUAGGGGUAUUGAUUUGGGUUCAGUUUUGCCUUUAAGAUUAUAAUGGACAGAGAGGACCAGCACCACCACUCUGAGGGGAGCUGACCAGAACUACAACUGUGAGAGGAUCUGAGCAGCACUCCAACUGUGAGAGGAUCUGAGCAGCACUCCAACUGUGAGAGGAUCUGAGCAGCACUCCAACUGUGAGAGGAGCUGACCAGCACUCCAACUGUGGUCCUGGUAAUUGAACCCACUAUCCUGGUGUUGCAAGUGCCAUGCGCUACCAACUGAGCUACAGAGGACCACCACUUCUCCAAAAUCACAAAUGGAGAAAAGAUCAUUCCUCUUCAGUGGGCUUUUAAAGAGAGCGACUACACUGCCAUUGUCAGGUUGAGGUUUCAUCCUACAGCCAAGUCACACCAAGUGGAGCUAAAUGCCUCCCACAGCCUCGUUGGCAACUUGCUCAGGAGAAUUCACAUGGUAACAACACAAAAGCCCCAUCCGGAUGGUUUUGCAUUCAAAGUAUAUUUACAGAGCUGUAGUGGCAAUAAAUCUUGACACAGAGACACAUUUAUGCCUCUUAAAAUGUAAACAAUAUAGGUCUAUAAUUAAAUCCUCCCAGCUCCUAAAAUGUACAAUUAUGUACAUCUAAGUCACAGAGCUAUUAUAUAUGUUUCUAUGUAAGUCAUGUAUUACAUGUUUGUAUGAAUGUUACAAUAAAAUGUUUCCUUUAUAA